rnacentral:rRNA from 1 species
AUGAUUCCUUCUCUGGGAGGGCUUGACCUCGCAGAAUGCUCACUCCAGAGCGCAAACCAGUCGCUCUCACACCUCAACCUCGCAAACCUCGAGGAGCUUGACCUCUCCUUCAAUGACUUUGGCCAACCAAUUGCAUCUUGUUGGUUCUGCGACUGCGAGCGGCGGGGUUUGCGCCGAACCGAGCCGUCUAGUCAAGUGGACCACAUCCCCUUGUUUGGUUGA